ACAGAUGCUAGGAGAACAGAAAGAAUAGCUUCAGGACCAUUUCAAUCAUUUCCUGAAAGAAGACCUUAUUAUCAAAAGUGUUACAUUUUAUUAUUGGCAACCUCCAAAAUUGCAGUUGUCUUCGGCUCUUCUUUGAACAGGUAAGGGACUGUAACACCUCUCUGAUUCAACAGGGCUGUACUUUCAUCACUGUGAUUUCAGGAUAUUUGGUCUCUCACUCGAACAGUCAAGACCUAUCAUCAAAGAGCUUCAUAUGAGUUUUUGUGGUUUUACUGAUAACAAAUAUACUCAGAUCUACA
rnacentral:lncRNA from 1 species